rnacentral:rRNA from 1 species
AUGCACGCUGGCGGCGUGCCUUAUACAUGCAAGUCGAGUGGGUUUAGACCCACGGCAAACGGGUGAGUAACACGUAGGUACUUUCCUUGUCACAGGAAUAACCCUCCGAAAGGAGGGCUAAUACCUGAUGUGAUCGCAAGAUUAAAGGGUAUCCGCAAGGAUUACCGGACAAGAAGAGGCCUGCGGCCUAUCAGCUAGUUGGCGGGGUAAAUGCCCACCAAGGCUAUGACGGGUAGCUGGUCUUAUGAGGAUGAUCAGUCACAUGGGCACUGAGACACGGGCCCAACUCCUACGGGAGGCAGCAGUAGGGAAUUUUGCGCAAUGGGCGAAAGCCUGACGCAGCGACGCCGCGUGCGGGAUGAAGGCCUUCGGGUCGUAAACCGCUUUUAUAAGGGACGAACUUUGACGGUACCUUAUGAAUAAGAGGUUGCUAACUCUGUG